GUUUUGGAGUACAAAGUUUGGCUAUUCGAAAAAAAUCAGGCACAUCGUGAGCUUUGGAUAUACGAAAGUUGUGUGUAAAAAGGAAAUUAAUAAAAGGCUUUGGAGAAUUUAGUCAUGGGGCGAUACUCAGUUGACCAAUGCAUAAAAGUGAGCCAAUGGUCGUUCUGCAAGAAUGGCAUUUAUCAUGUGCAUUUUCACCUAAACGGAUACGCUAACAAAGCCAAACUGCCGCACUCCUUCAAAAAACAGCUGUGCACCCAGGACGAGGCACUGAAGGAGUCAUCGGAAAGUACUUCUUCGAAAUUGAUACCGUUAACGCUAUUUCGGUGAUAUGACAACAAACUUUUGAGGACCUGAAUUAGAAUAAAACGAUUCCACUUGAUAUACAGCAAAUGAAGCAAUGACUCUCUUGCGAACAAAGGGCCCGAAACAACGGAAACAAAUGGCCGGCGAAAUCUUGCGGCUUGUCACCGCUGGACUUCUUUCUCUGGGACUAUUUCAAAAGUAUAGUCAAUGCCAAUGAAGCCCGAGGCGAUUCCAGAGCUAAAGAACGAAUGAAUAAUAUGCGAGGGUCGUUUGAAAAAUCCUAACUAAAAACUACUUAAUUUUGUCGGGUAUACCUUUUUUUAUUUUUCCUUACAGUUCCCUUUUAGGCUUAUACACUUCGUCCAACGCUGUUCUAGUAUGUUGACCCCUUCCGAAUAAUAGGAUUUGUCCAAGUCUACAAAAUAGCCAUUCGUUUCUGCAAUCACCUCUUCGUUUGAAUAAAAAAUUUUCCCCUCCAACCAAUUCUUCAAAUUGGGGAACAAAUAGUAGUCCGAGUAAUCCGAAGGAGCUAAAUCUAAAGAAUAGGGGGGAUAUGAAACGAGUUGGAAUUCUAGUUUCAUUAAUUUUUCGACCACAACGUUGAGACGUGAGCCGGUGCAUUGUCGUGAUUGAAAAGGAAAAUCCAUCGACUUCCUCGAUUCAAACGAAUGACAAACACAAAGAAAUGGAACACUUGGUGUGUGUUCUUCCAAGAGAUACUACUAACUAAUUAUAACCUCGAUACGUGCCAGUAGUGUCAACUUUGCACGCACUUUUCAAACAACCCUCGUAUUUCGCAGCGCAAUUUAAAAGGAGGAAGAAAAUUAAGUUAAGUUAAGAUUUAUUGUUUUUAUAGAAAACUUAAGCUCAACUGAAACCAAGCUUGGUCAGAUGUCGGUUAGUUUUUAGAGUUUAGUUGAAAUACAAAACGAAAUCAGUUCUAUGAGGCAAACUAA